GAAAAAGGAAAAGUAAAAUGCAUCGAUAAGAGUGGAGAGCGAUGAUGAUAAAUGAAAAGACUUACUUUGCCCCCUGCUGUUGGGCACAUUAUUUCGACUUUGCAAACAGGCAAUAAAACAAUAACUUCCAUUAAUAAAUAGGCAUACAAUCAAUCUUUCAGACGAACCCAUGUUAUUCGCGAACGGGUGCUCAAGAAGUUGAGUGGCAGUAGGGCGGUCUGACGGACUCCACUGCAAGCAUUGUAUGAUGAAAUUUUUACAAUCAUCCGAAAGAUGGUCAAGAAUUGCCGGGAUUUGUUUUUUGACUGGAACCUUAAAUAUAGCAGUCAUUUGACAUACCCAUAGAGCAAGAAAAUAAAAUACCAUUUCUAUUAGGGGGACGGGGCGCCCCGUUAUCAUCCAUCCACCACGUGUGGAUUACCGUGGAACACCACCGCUGGUGGUUGUUUUCACGUGUGAAUCCGACAACGCGUGGCCACUAUCAUGUGAAGAAGUUGCAAAAUGUUGUGUGAGAAAAAUUGUUGGGUGUGGUGAGUGAUGGAUAUUUCCACUAAAAUUUCAUCACUAGUCAUGCUUCUGCCACUUCGCUUGUGCGUAAUUCAAGAUAAGUGGAGCGACUAAUCUAUACUAUAUAUAAAAGCAUAUAGGAAGGACUACUUAAGCCCCUUUUUCAUUUUCGUUCUCUCUCUCCCUCAAAGAUCUGGAUUUGGAUCUGUGGAUCCAAAAGAAAAAAGAUGUGUUAUUGAUCUACAAUAUCAGAGUGGAAUCAAAAUCUUCAUCUUCAUCUUCCCACUUUUCACGCAUCUAAUUUGUUGGUGGUGUUCCAGGUCAGAAUGCUGUUUUAAAGCUUUGUUUGGAGGUAGCUGGGCUGCUGGGCAUUGAUGAUAAUUACAUCUGGGACGGCCGCGGAAACAAAUGAAGUAGUUGUAAAAGGAGAAAUCCCAGGGAUGAAAGGAUUACGAGAUGAUGGUUAUGCUAACUCUGAAUUCAAGUGGCCAUUUGGUUCUUCCCGAGGAGAAUU
rnacentral:lncRNA from 1 species